rnacentral:lncRNA from 1 species
UGCUCACACUCCAGGGCACAAGGCUGCUUGACAUCGAGGCAUUCCCAAGGGCCAUGGGAUGAGAACCUAGAAGCUAAAUGGAAAAUUCAUUCCUUUGCUAAGUGGAACAACAUGAAGAAAGACGGGGAUGCAAAGGAUUACAGACACGUGCAAGACAGGCC